AAAGUCGUAACAAGGUUUCCGUAGGUGAACCUGCGGAAGGAUCAUUACAAAUCCAUCCGGGACGCCUGAAGGGGUACUGGUGCGCUUGCGCAUCAGUACCUCCUUCAGGCAUUCCAUUUACCACGUUGAAAUGUUCUCUCCUCCACCUGGGCGCGAUCCAGUGGGCCUUUCGAGGCACGCUGGAUCACACAUGCGCCCUGGUGGAUGGGUUUAAACACACCAGUAUCCUUCAGUUGCUUCCAGUGUGUGAAUGGGGGCGAGGGUGAUGCCAGUAGUAGUGCUCUUGUUGAGCAUGAACCACAACCCCCCGCUCCUGUCGCCACGACAACAAAACAACAACCUAGAACAACUUAUAACAAUGGAUCUCUAGGCUCUU
rnacentral:misc_RNA from 1 species